AGUUCUAAGCUUUCUCCUUAGGCACAAUAAAAUGUGAAAUCAACAGUUUACUGAAUAUUGAAGUUAACAAUUUGAAAAGUUUCAUAGUUAAUUCAAGGUUUUCGUCUCUCUGGCUAACAGGGAUUUGUUUUUUCUCGCUAUUUUGUAUGGGUAAACACUUCAAUUUAAAAUACUACUGAAUAACUAAAUUUACGUGAUAAUGAUGACGUCAAUACCAAUAAUAUAGUUGAAUUACCACCAGAAGAUGUAGAUGAAGUCACAGAUUGUGAGGAUUUUGACGAAAAUCUAUUGGAAGCUUAAUAUCCCACAGAAGUUUUUGAGACACUGAAAGUUCACAGUAUUCAUGCAGAAGAUACUGUCGAUGAUGGUCCGAGUAUUUCGAGUUACCAGCCAAUUAGAAAAAAAAUGUUGCCUAGGUGAAAAUUCGAAUACAUCCACUCCUUGUCAAAGUAAGAAAAGGAAGUCAACAAUCCCUGAUAGUACUGAAAUUUUGGAAUUAUUUUUUGACGACGUAAUUUUGGAUUACGUCUUUAGUGGAAGUUCAAAGUUUGCUGCUCAAAAUAACACGUAUCCACCAACUGUUUGAAAAAAUUGGGUAUUCCUAAUGACCAAAGAGACAAAAAUUCGACCGUUAAUUGAGCAUCUAAAUAAGAAAUUCAUGACCUUUGGAGUGUUCAACCAGGACAGGAGUAUUGAUGAACAAAUGGUAAGAUACUUCGGACGCCACUAUCUCAAACAAUUCAUCAGAAGAAAACCUAUAAGAUUCGGGUUCAAAAUGUAGGCUAUUUGUUGUUCAGUUAGAGUUUAUUGUUACCAUUUUGAGGUUUAUGAAGGAAAAAGAACGAGAGAACCUGAAGUAUCAUAUGGACUAGUAGGAGACGUUGUAAUAAGGUUGUUUUCAAAAGUUGAAAAUCCUCAACUAAAUAGCUUUUAGAUUUGCAACUUCUUUACAAGUUUUUCAUUGGUCCAAAAACAUCUAGAAAUGAAUAUACGCGCAAAAGGCACAUGUAAAUUUGAUAGAAUAAAGUCUGAGUAAGAUAUGAAAAAAAGUAGGUUUGACACCAAAAAUAAAGUCUUAGGGGUAAUAUGAAAAGACAAUAAUUGCGUAACAAUGCUUUCCAACCAUGAAAGCAUAUUACCUCUAUCAAAAGCUUAUAGAUGGUCCAGAACAGAAAGAACGAAAAAAAAUAUUCCUCAACCAUAUUUGAUUUCAGAAUAUAAUAAGUUUAUGGGGGGAGUAGAUUUGUUAGACUGGAAGUUCCCAAAGUACAGAAUCAAAAUACGUGGAAAAAAUGGUACUUUCCUAUAUUUACUCAAAUAUUAGAUACAGCAUUUAUCGAUGGAAAUGUGGUUUUUUGUUUUGUAAAUGGUAAAAUGCCACUUCUGGAUUUUAGACAAGAAUUAACGAUGCACUAUUUUACGUCUCUUCUACGUCAGAUUCCAAAAUUGUGGGUAGACCACAGGCGAAGAAUGUUAGCUUCCAUGUACGGAUCAGCAACAGCGAAAAUGAUUUGACAAGAACUUUCGAAGAAAAGCAAAAAAAUGUGGAGUAUGCAAGACAAACGUGUAUAGAAUCCUAUUCCCUAUAGCUGACUCAGACUAGUGCCUAAAUUAAUAGUUCUUUUUUCAUAAAAUUCAAAAUUUGUAAAGUUACAGUCGUUUCAUUAUUGUAAUCUCUGUACUAUUAUAAUAAAUUUGUGUGCCAAAA